AUGGCUGGCAUGGUAGAGCGCCUCGUGAUCGGCACCCUGCUGGCCGCCACCUUCCUGGCGGCACCGGCGGCAGGCACCACACUGACCCUGCACAACCUGUGCCCGUACCCCGUGUGGCCGCUGGUGACCCCGAACACGGGCUUCCCCUCCAUCUGCGGCAACGACAUCCGCCUCGAGGGCAACGGCCACGGGCUCGUCUCCUUCCCCUUCCCGCCGACCUUCUGGUCCGGGCAGCUGGUGGCGCGCACCGGCUGCGCGUCGCCGUCGCCGUCGCGGUGCGAGACGGGGAGCGCGCGGCCCGCGGGCGUGGUGCAGCUGACCGUGCACUCGGCCGAGGGCGCGCCGCGGCCGGACCUGGCGGUGUACAGCGUGAGCCUGGUGGGCGGGUUCAACGUGCCGGUGGUGGUGAGCCCGCAGGCCAUCGGCGGCGACGGGCCCUGCCCGGCCCUGGGGUGCGCGGCGGACCUGAACGCCGGGUGCCCGCCGGCGCAGCGCGUGGUGGGCGCGGGCGGCCGCGCGGUCGCGUGCUAUGGGCUACCUGGCUACUUCAAGCAGCGGUGCCCGCUGACGCGGACGACGCCGGUCGACAGGGAGCCCGUGGAGCAGCACUGCUACGCGCCCGGCGAGCUCAAGGUCGUCUUCUGCCAGCCCGCAAUGGUCGACGCCGCACAGCCGGAUGUCGUCGUCGCCGAGAACUAG
rnacentral:rRNA from 1 species